rnacentral:rRNA from 1 species
UAUUUUUAAGUAUCGCCUGCUCAAUGAAAUUUAAAUAGCCGCAGAAAUUUAACUGUGCUAAGGUAGCAUAAUCAUUAGCUCUUUAAUUAAGGGCUUGUAUGAAAGGCAACACAUUUUAUACCCUAUAAUCACUUUAAUUCAUUUAACUUAAAUUAAGAAUAAAAAUGUUCUUAUUCUAAAAAUAGACGAUAAGACCCUAUCGAACUUUACUUUAGUUUAACUGGGGCAGUUAAAUAAGUAAUAUUUUAUUUUCCUUUUUUAUAUAAAAACCCAAUUCCUUUGAAUAUAAAUAAGUUACCAUAGGGAUAACAGCGUAAUUUACUUUUAAAGCUCUUAUUUAAAAAUAAGAUUGCGACCUCGAUGUUGAAUUAAUGUCUCUCUUUAUAAAGCAACAAUUUUUAGAGUAGGUCUGUUCGACCUUUAAAACAUUACA